AGCGAACGCUGGCGGCAGGCCUAACACAUGCAAGUCGAACGAAGUCUUCGGACUUAGUGGCGGACGGGUGAGUAACACGUGGGAACGUGCCUUUAGGUUCGGAAUAACUCAGGGAAACUUGUGCUAAUACCGAAUGUGCCCUUCGGGGGAAAGAUUUAUCGCCUUUAGAGCGGCCCGCGUCUGAUUAGCUAGUUGGUGAGGUAAAGGCUCACCAAGGCGACGUUCAGUAGCUGGUCUGAGAGGAUGAUCAGCCACAUUGGGACUGAGACACGGCACAAACUCCUACGGGAGGCAGCAGUGGGGAAUCUUGCGCAAUGGGCGAAAGCCUGACGCAGCCAUGCCGCGUGAAUGAUGAAGGUCUUAGGAUUGUAAAAUUCUUUCACCGGGGACGAUAAUGACGGUACCCGGAGAAGAAGCCCCGGCUAACUUCGUGCCAGCCGCCGCGGUAAGAC
rnacentral:rRNA from 1 species